AGUGAAAACAAAAACACAACAUUUAUGAAGAUAUAAGCAGUAACAACAACAGGAUAACUCUUAAUUGUGACACAAUAUAUUCUUAUUAGCCAUAUCGUAGCACCAGACUUUGAACCGUACUCCUGAAUCCUAGAAUUUGUGUAAUGAAGAGUCCAACCUCUAGAUCAACAUCUGUAUCAGAUGCCCACUUUCAUAACAUGAAUGAGCUUAAUAGAAUUUUGUAAGUCUGUGAAUAAAGUAGAAAACAUGUAUUUGUUGACUUUCUUCUCUACUUAUCUAACCUUGCUGGGCUGAGA
rnacentral:misc_RNA from 1 species